ACGGGGGUGCAAGCGUUGUUCGGAAUUAUUGGGCGUAAAGAGCGUGUAGGCGGCCUGAUGUGUCAGAUGUGAAAGCCCUGGGCUUAACCCAGGAAGUGCAUUUGAAACUGUCAGGCUUGAGUAGGGGAGAGGGAAGUGGAAUUCCUGGUGUAGAGGUGAAAUUCGUAGAUAUCAGGAGGAACACCGGUGGCGAAGGCGACUUCCUGGCCCUAUACUGACGCUGAGACGCGAGAGCGUGGGUAGCAAACAGGAUUAGAUACCCUGGUAGUCCACGCCGUAAACGAUGUUCACUAGGUGUUGGGGGUAUUGACCCCCUCAGUGCCGGAGCUAACGCAUUAAGUGAACCGCCUGGGGAGUACGGUCGCAAGACUA
rnacentral:rRNA from 1 species